rnacentral:rRNA from 1 species
AAUCGUACCCCAAACCGACACAGGUGGUCAGGUAGAGAAUACCAAGGCGCUUGAGAGAACUCGGGUGAAGGAACUAGGCAAAAUGGUGCCGUAACUUCGGGAGAAGGCACGCUGGCAUGUAGGUGAAGUCCCUUGCGGAUGGAGCUGAAGCCAGUCGAAGAUACCAGCUGGCUGCAACUGUUUAAUAAAAACACAGCACUGUGCAAACACGAAAGUGGACGUAUACGGUGUGACGCCUGCCCGGUGCUGGAAGGUUAAUUGAUGGGGUCAGCCGCAAGGCGAAGCUCUUGAUCGAAGCCCCAGUAAACGGCGGCCGUAACUAUAACGGUCCUAAGGUAGCGAAAUUCCUUGUCGGGUAAGUUCCGACCUGCACGAAUGGCGUAAUGAUGGCCAGGCUGUCUCCACCCGAGACUCAGUGAAAUUGAACUCGCUGUGAAGAUGCAGUGUACCCGCGGCAAGACGGAAAGACCCCGUGAACCUUUACUAUAGCUUGACACUGAACAUUGAGCCUUGAUGUGUAGGAUAGGUGGGAGGCUUUGAAGCGUGGACGCCAGUCUGCGUGGAGCCAUCCUUGAAAUACCACCCUUUAAUGUUUGAUGUUCUAACUCGGCCCCAUAAUCUGGGGUGAGGACAGUGUCUGGUGGGUAGUUUGACUGGGGCGGUCUCCUCCCAAAGAGUAACGGAGGAGCACGAAGGUUAGCUAAUCACGGUCGGACAUCGUGAGGUUAGUGCAAAGGCAUAAGCUAGCUUGACUGCGAGAGUGACGGCUCGAGCAGGUACGAAAGUAGGUCUUAGUGAUCCGGUGGUUCUGAAUGGAAGGGCCAUCGCUCAACGGAUAAAAGGUACUCCGGGGAUAACAGGCUGAUACCGCCCAAGAGUUCAUAUCGACGGCGGUGUUUGGCACCUCGAUGUCGGCUCAUCACAUCCUGGGGCUGAAGUAGGUCCCAAGGGUAUGGCUGUUCGCCAUUUAAAGUGGUACGCGAGCUGGGUUUAGAACGUCGUGAGACAGUUCGGUCCCUAUCUGCCGUGGGCGUUGGAAGAUUGAGAGGGGUUGCUCCUAGUACGAGAGGACCGGAGUGAACGCACCACUGGUGUUCGGGUUGUCAUGCCAAUGGCAUUGCCCGGUAGCUAAGUGCGGAAAAGAUAAGCGCUGAAAGCAUCUAAGCGCGAAACUUGCCUCAAGAUGAGUCUUCCCUGGGCCUUCAAGGCCCCUGAAGGAACGUUUAAGACUAAGACGUUGAUAGGCUGGGUGUGUAAGUGCAGCGAUGCAUUGAGCUAACCAGUACUAAUGAUCCGUGAGGCUUAACCUU